GAGCAGGGCGCGUGCUAUACAUGCAAGUCGAGCGAACAGAUAAGGAGCUUGCUCCUUUGACGUUAGCGGCGGACGGGUGAGUAACACGUGGGUAACCUACCUAUAAGACUGGGAUAACUUCGGGAAACCGGAGCUAAUACCGGAUAACAUUUGGAACCGCAUGGUUCUAAAGUGAAAGAUGGUUUUGCUAUCACUUAUAGAUGGACCCGCGCCGUAUUAGCUAGUUGGUAAGGUAACGGCUUACCAAGGCGACGAUACGUAGCCGACCUGAGAGGGUGAUCGGCCACACUGGAACUGAGACACGGUCCAGACUCCUACGGGAGGCAGCAGUAGGGAAUCUUCCGCAAUGGGCGAAAGCCUGACGGAGCAACGCCGCGUGAGUGAUGAAGGGUUUCGGCUCGUAAAACUCUGUUAUUAGGGAAGAACAAAUGUGUAAGUAACUGUGCACGUCUUGACGGUACCUAAUCAGAAAGCCACGGCUAACUACGUGCCAGCAGCCGCGGUAAUACGUAGGUGGCAAGCGUUAUCCGGAAUUAUUGGGCGUAAAGCGCGCGUAGGCGGUUUCUUAAGUCUGAUGUGAAAGCCCACGGCUCAACCGUGGAGGGUCAUUGGAAACUGGGAAACUUGAGUGCAGAAGAGGAAAGUGGAAUUCCAUGUGUAGCGGUGAAAUGCGCAGAGAUAUGGAGGAACACCAGUGGCGAAGGCGACUUUCUGGUCUGUAACUGACGCUGAUGUGCGAAAGCGUGGGGAUCAAACAGGAUUAGAUACCCUGGUAGUCCACGCCGUAAACGAUGAGUGCU
rnacentral:rRNA from 1 species